rnacentral:rRNA from 1 species
CCUACGGGAGGCAGCAGUGGGGAAUAUUGCACAAUGGGGGAAACCCUGAUGCAGCGACGCCGCGUGGGCGAGGAAGUACCUCGGUAUGUAAAGCCCUAUCAGCAGGGAAGAAACAGUACAGUACCUGACUAAGAAGCCCCGGCCAACUACGGUCCAGCAGCCGCGGUAAUACGUAGGGGGCAAGCGUUAUCCGGAUUCACUGGGGGGAAAGGGAUCGCAGGCGGAAUGGCAAGUCUGAUGUGAAAACCCGGGGCCCAACCCCGGGAGUGCAUUGGAAACUGCCAGGCUGGAGUGUCGGAGGGGUAAGCGGAAUUCCUAGUGUAGCGGUGAAAUGCGUAGAUAUUAGGAGGAACACCAGUGGCGAAGGCGACUAACUGGACGACUACUGACGCUGAGGCUCGAAAGCGUGGGGAGCAAACAGGAUUAGAUACCCGAGUAGUC